GAUGAACGCUGGCGGCGUGCCUAAUACAUGCAAGUCGAGCGAAGCGGGGACGGGUGAGUAACACGUGGAUAACCUCCUUUAAGACUGGGAUAACUUCGGGAAGCAGGAACUACACCGGAUACAUAUAGCUGGAUCCGCGCUGCAUUAACUAGUUGGUAAAGUAACGGCUUACCAAGGCAACGAUGCAUAGCCGCCCUGAGAGGGUGAUCGGCCACCCUGGAACUGAGACACGGUCCAGACUCCUACGGGAGGCAGCAGUAGGGAAUCUUCCGCAAUGGGCGAAAGCCUGACGGAGCAACGCCGCGUGAGUGAUGAAGGUCUUCGGAUCGUAAAACUCUGUUAUUAGGGAAGCGGUACCUAAUCAGAAAGCCACGGCUAACUACGUGCCAGCAGCCGCGGUAAUAC
rnacentral:rRNA from 1 species